GUCAUCUCCCAUGGUCGCAUUGGCGGCGAUGGGGCUGGUGAUGCUGCUGUGUAGUCAAAGACUGAAUGAGAAAGGCGUUGUCUCUUCGGACUUGGACUGUCUUCACUCUGCAAAUUCAAAAAAUAAACCCACUUGAUGACCAGUACUGCCCCAAGGUAUUCCUGGAGCAGGGAAGAGGGCAGGGGAUCUUGGACACAAGAUGCCAGUAUUGGACCACUGGCCAGACAAGGAAAAGACAAGGUACAUCCAUUAGAAGUCUCUGAAACUCCAAAGCAGAAACAGUGAAGUCUGGCCUUGUCCUGCAGAACUCAACAAAAGCCUGCCACCACAGAACAGCCCAGAUUUGCUUAGCACCAUAAGGCAAACCAUUACAAUGUUGUUUACGUAAGAGGAGAACUGGAAAUAAGAUCAGAGAGGUUAUUUUACCUCUGUUUGGCACCAGUGCAGUCACUAAGACUAUUGUCUCCAGUACAGGUGUCCAUCAUUCAAGAAGGAAGUUGAUAAAUUGGAGAGGAGUCAGAGAAGAGCCAAGAGUGUUAUUGCAGGACUAGAAAAAUUACUUUAUGGUGAGAGACUCAAGACACUUCAACCUAUUUAGUUUGACAAACAGGGUUAAGUAAUGCCUAUAACCUAUGUAGCUACACAGAGAGAUAUUUAAUAAUGGGCUCUUCAACCUAGUGGAGAAAGGAACAACAUGAUGCAGUGGCUAGAAGCUGAAGCAGGACACUCAGAUCAGAGAGAAUGUAUAAUUGUUAAUAAGAGUAAUUAACCAUUAAAACAAUUUCUGAAGGGUCAUGGUGUGUUCUUCACUGAUACAUUUUUAAAUCAAAGCUGGGUGUUUCUCUAAAGAUCUGAUCUAGGAAUUAUUUUGGGGUAGUGCCCUAACCUGUAUUAUGCAGCAGGUCAAAACUGCUAACAAUGGGUCCCCUCUGGCCUUAGAAUCUGUAAGUUCUGCUCAACUGGGAGUCACAUAAGCAUUAGUGCUGACAACUUUCAGAUGGUAGUUGGACACAAAGCCUAAACUAUCUCAGUCUACCUAGCUGAAACCAUCUCCCUAUUUCUGCACCUCCCCACCCCAAUGAAGGUCAGAAGAGAUUUUUCAAGCUGAAGCUCCAUUAGGAAGGAGUUGGUGACAAGGUUUUCUCCAUGAGGGCCCCUGGCUUUUUCAUUUACUUCCCACAAGCUUGUCCAUAAAACUUAAAAUCUUGUGGACCUUGACAAAAAACUUCAAAGCAAAACUUUUCCCCCAGGCAUUUGAACUUCUGGAGAUGGAAUUAUGAACCCAGUAACCAUCUGGGGAUCAGUUUUUGUUGUACUUUUAAAUAAUGAAGACAUCUUGUUCUUGUUUUAACAUAUUGUAUGAAAUUCAAAUACAGAUAAGUAAACAUUAAUUUCUCCCCUAAAUAUAGUGCUCAAAAUCAUGUU